rnacentral:rRNA from 1 species
AUUGAACGCUGGCGGCAUGCUUUACACAUGCAAGUCGCACGAGUGGCGGACGGGUGAGUAAUGUAUUGGAAAGUACCGUGUGGUGGGGGAUCACCAAUGGAAACAUUAGCUAAUAACGCAUACUAUUGGAGUGGCCAAUAUGGGAUUAGCUAGUAGGUGGGGUAAAGGCUCCCCUAGGCGACGAGCCCUAGCUGGUCUGAGAGGAUGAACAGCCACACGGGAAUUGAGACACUGUCCAGACUCCUACGGGAGGCAGAAGUGGGGAAGAUUGCACAAUGGGCGCAAGCCUGAUGCAGCCAUGCCGCGUGUAUGAAGAAGGCCUUCGGGUUGUAAAGCACUUUCAGCGGGGAGGCGUUACCCGCAGAAGAAGCACCGGCUAACUCCGUGCCAGCAGCCGCGGUAAUUC